rnacentral:rRNA from 1 species
AUUGAACGCUGGCGGCAUGCCUUACACAUGCAAGUCGAACGAGUGGCGGACGGGUGAGUAACGCCUGGGAAAGUGCCCGGUGGUGGGGGAUAACUGUCGGAAAGGGCAGCUAAUACCGCAUAUCAUCGGAGGUGCCCAUAUCUGAUUAGCUGGUAGGUGGGGUAACGGCUCACCUAGGCGACGAUCCGUAGCGGGUCUGAGAGGAUGAUCAGCCACACUGGGACUGAGACACGGCCCAGGCUCCUACGGGAAGCAGCAGUGGGGAAGUUUGGACAAGGGGCGCAAGCCUGAUGCAGCCAUGCCGCGUGUCUGAAGAAGGACUUCGGGUUGUAAAGGACUUUCGGCAGGGAAGCGUUACCUGUAGAAGAAGCACCGGCUAACUACGUGCCAGCAGCCGCGGUAAUUC